UUACUCUAAUCAUCCCAUGCAACAAAUGUACAUGGUUUGUUCAACAAUAGUAUUAUUGUUGUUCAGAUGCAAUCAGCAUGUGCUUUUACCUCAUAGGCAGCAGGACAAAUUGUGAUUGGGCAGAUUAUAGCCGAAAUUUUAAUGAAAUUCUACAAUGCCAAUGUCUUUGAUUGUACAUGAUGCAUGAUGAAGUGCUUAAAAAGAUGCAUUAUCAGACAAAUGAUAUGCAAAUCUGCACUCUCACUGGGCCAUUUUUGACUCUUGACAUAAAGACACACCACUUUCCCAGAGCAAGCCAAGUUAUUUCACAAUCAUCAGCACAAUGAAAGCAGUGACGACCAAAAAAAACCUAUAUAUGAUAGACACAUAUUCCUUAAAGCACUCAAGAGGUGUUUUACUGCCAAUUGUGGACAAAAGAGCAGUAUAGCUGACAUUUGCAUCGUUUAAACCUACAAAAUAUUGCUUCAAGCAUUUGAAUUAGUUUCUGCAGUUCUCAGCUAAGACAUGAGCCUGUGUGCCAUCAAUGAUUGUGUGUCAGUAAAAUGAAAUCCCCUCUAAUGCCCUUAGACACUGCAACAGAGAUACAGUGCAGCUGCUAAUGUGCUUUCCACACAUUUAUAUCAAAGUAAACUGUUUGCCGCCCAAUGCUCACAUAAAAUUACAUGGUCAGUUAAGCCCAAAUGUUAAUUUCUGGGUAAGUAAUUAAUUGUAAUCUGUGGGCAUGCAGUGUGGCCUGUGUAGGACUCAGGUGCAUUGUGGGAGAACCUGUACAUGUGGUAAGACCUUCAUCGCCAUUUAGUGUACAAACAAGUUUAGUUUUUUUUUUCAAACCAUGAACAUCAGUGGCCAACGUCAACUAUUUGUUUACAGACAUACUUCAAUUAUUAUAAUAUUUCUCAACAGAGCAAAGAAGCUCACAAUUUUGGAACAACUUGAGGGUGAGUAAAUGAUGACAUAAUUGAAUGAAUCGAAUCAUGAAUCGUGCAUUUACUACAUGUCACACAUUCAAGUUGGAAACAUAACACAAAAGUAGCUUAAACAAACAAAAUAUUAUAUAUUUUGAAAAGUAAAUACAAAUUACUACAUGGAAUUCAAAAUUACGAAAGCAUGAUUACACAACACAAACUGUAAAAAGUUUAAACUGUUCACUACAGACUUGCAUUCCACUCACUGAUCUCUAUAUAAUAUAAUAUAGAUAUAUUACAUCAAAGAUCAGUGUUUAGAUCUUGUUUCAAAUUGACAUUCUGCUUCCAUCAUCACAGCUCGGCCACUCAUCUAGAAUUCUGAGUUUCCAGCUUGUAAAUACGACUUUGAUUGUUCAUUCAUGUGCUCUGAACUCAUAAUUACAAUAUUUCAGACUCCACUUGAAGGGGAUAAGAAUUGCAGUUGAGAACUGCCGGGUAAGAAUAGACCUGUGUGAAGCAAAGUAAGAUUCUUUGCUUCCGGGCUGAAUUAUGUGACUGUUCUCCAACUUCUUUUAGUCUCUCUAAAUUAGUCUCUAUUGUACAUCACAACCAAGAUAAUUUUCCAUAGUGAUUGUGCACAGAAGGCAUCAUGGACAAAAGCCAGACCUUUCAUUAAUGUUUAAUUUAGGAGCAGUAGAGAUUUUCCAACUUGGUUUUGUAAGGUUUUCAGAUGAGUAGUAGCGGGAACAAUAGGCAGAUUGUCUCUCCCUUCCACCGUCCAGUGUGUUCAGUGAAACGAAUAUAUGCAGCUCAAGGGCCCAACGGAGGUCGCGUAAAAUGGACCAUCUUCUUUAUUUGAUCAGAGA
ensembl:lncRNA